GAUUCGGAGACAGAAUUGGUUCCAUCUUUCCUAUUGCAGAGAAUUGAAUUUCUGGUUCUUGGUGAAGCCUUGGAGUCUUACUCAAAAAAGUUACUAUGUCUAAAAAAGUAGAAAUUGUGAGACCAUGUAAAAUUAUGUGCUAGAAACUGAUGCUAGAAACUGAGGAAAGUUAAUAAGUAAACUGUUGUUUUAGGAUUUUGCUAUCUAAGGCUGUAAAAUAAAACAUGCAGAAACUUAUUGUCAUAUCUGAUGAUUGUUAUGCUCAGCAGCCAUUUUAUAUUUCACUUAUGAUGCUUACUGACUGUCAAGAUGCUAACAUACGUUCUUCUGCAUCAACUGCCCCUUAGUUUCGACAAAGAAGCACUAUUUUAUCAAUAGCAAGUGCUGUUUCUGUGGGUGGUGUGAUUCAACAUAAUGCAGAUCUUACUUGUAAUCUUUGGGCGUCAUCUUUAUUGCCUUCUUGUGAUGACAAUGUUAUUCAUCUGUCCAUUGUCACUCGCAGUUUUUCAAAUUUUGAGUUGGUCAGUUGGCUUAACGGGAACCUCUUGAGAAAGAAACAGACAUGAGACAUCUGAAAAGGAUACAUAAAGAAAUAUCAUAAGAGGAUUCUGCAUCUUCAAAAUAUCGAUUCCUUCAGAAACCUCCAUCCAGAUGCAAAGCGUCCGGAAGCAAGUCAAGCAACCAUUAGUAGAUUAAAAUGAAAAUAUCUAGAAAGUUUAUCUGAUUACAUGGAGAUAGAUCCCUGGCUGAAAUACACAAGGACAGUAUGAUUACAGAUAUACACAUUCUCUUAUCCGCUACCACCACUUGCGCUUAUCAUAGACGAAUUGUACUUUUAUCAAGUGAAUGGAACCACCAUUUGUGUGGAUGGAUAUGCAGGAGUCCACCAUUUGUUGUCAGCAUUAGCAGGAUAAAGAUAUUUCAAGCUCAGCCAAUCUUUUAGGUUCAGUAUCUAGCUGUAUACUACUAUUAACGUCGAAGCACCUUAUAGAAAACAGCUAAGUUGCUGGUGGCUUCAAAUUGCCACUUUGCCUAAUGAAUUAAACCUGCUAAUUCCAGCAAUUCUGAUUAAUCAAAUGUCUCAAGCCAUUGGUUUGCCAG
rnacentral:lncRNA from 1 species